UACGAGGGGGGCAAGCGUUGUUCGGAUUCAUUGGGCGUAAAGGGUGCGUAGGUGGCAUGGUAAGUCGGAUGUGAAAUCCCGGGGCUCAACCCCGGAACUGCAUUCGAUACUGCUGCGCUAGAGUACUGGAGAGGAGAUUGGAAUUUACGGUGUAGCAGUGAAAUGCGUAGAUAUCGUAAGGAAGACCAGUGGCGAAGGCGGAUCUCUGGACAGUUACUGACACUGAGGCACGAAGGCCAGGGGAGCAAACGGG
rnacentral:rRNA from 1 species